rnacentral:rRNA from 1 species
UACAGAGGGUGCGAGCGUUAAUCGGAAUUACUGGGCGUAAAGCGCACGUAGGCGGCUUGGUAUGUCGGGUGUGAAAUCCCCGGGCUCAACCUGGGAACUGCAUCCGAAACUGCCUUGCUAGAGUAUGGGAGAGGGAAGUGGAAUUUCCGGUGUAGCGGUGAAAUGCGUAGAUAUCGAGAGGAACACCGGUGGCGAAGGCGGCCAACUGGACGAAUACUGACGCUGAGACUCGAAAGCGUGGGGAGCAAACAGG